CGGGUGCACUGAUCCAGCCGGGCCUUUCCCUCUGUGGAACCCCAUGGCCUUCACUGGCUGUGGUGGGGAAACAGGACUUUUACUUUGAAAAAAUUAGAGUGCUCCAGGCAGGCCUAUGCUCGAAUACAUUAGCAUGGAAUAAUAGAAUACGACGUGGUGGUUCUAUUUUGCUGGGUUCUAGGACCGCCGUAAUGAUUAUAGGGACAGUCGGGGGCAUCAGUAUUCAAUGUCAGAGGUGAAAUUCUUGGAUCUAUUGAAGACUAACUACUGCGAAAGCAUUUGCCAAGGAUGUUUUCAUUGAUAAGGAACGAAAGUUAGGGGAUCGAAGACGAUCAGAUACCGUCGUAGUCUUAACUAUAAACUAUGCCGACUAGGGAUCGGACGAUGUUAUUCUUUGACGCGUUCGGCACCUUUCGAGAAAUCAAAGUGCUUGGGCUCCAGGGGGAGUAUGGUCGCAAGGCUGAAACUUAAAGAAAUUGACGGAAGGGCACCACCAGGGGUGGAACCUGCGGCUUAAUUUGACUCAACACGGGGAAACUCACCAGGUCCAGACACAGUGAGGAUUGACAGAUUGAGAGCUCUUUCUUGAUUCUGUGGGUGGUGGUGCAUGGCCGUUCUUAGUUGGUGGAGUGAUUUGUCUGCUUAAUUGCGAUAACGAACGAGACCUUAACCUGCUAAAUAGCCCGUACUGCUUUGGCAGUUCGCCGGCUUCUUAGAGGGACUAUCGG
rnacentral:rRNA from 1 species